UACGAAGGGGGCUAGCGUUGUUCGGAAUCACUGGGCGUAAAGGGCGCGUAGGCGGCUUUAUAAGUCGGGGGUGAAAGCCUGUGGCUCAACCACAGAAUUGCCUUCGAUACUGUAGAGCUUGAGACCGGAAGAGGUAAGUGGAACUGCGAGUGUAGAGGUGAAAUUCGUAGAUAUUCGCAAGAACACCAGUGGCGAGGGCGGCUUACUGGUCCGGUUCUGACGCUGAGGCGCGAAAGCGUGGGGAGCAAACAGG
rnacentral:rRNA from 1 species